CCUACGGGUGGCAGCAGUGGGGGAUAUUGCACAAUGGGGGAAACCCUGAUGCAGCGACACCGCGUGGGUGAAGAAGCGCCUCGGCGCGUAAAGCCCUGUCAGCAGGGAAGAAAAUGACGGUACCUGAAGAAGAAGCCCCGGCUAACUACGUGCCAGCAGCCGCGGUAAUACGUAGGGGGCAAGCGUUAUCCGGAUUUACUGGGUGUAAAGGGGGCGCAGACGGCGAUGCAAGCCAGGAGUGAAAGCCCGGGGCCCAACCCCGGGACUGCGCGUGGAACUGCGUGGCUAGAGUGCAGGAGGGGCAGGCGGAAGUCCUGGUGUAGCGGUGAAAUGCGUAGAUAUCAGGAGGAACACCGGUGGCGAAGGCGGCCUGCUGGACUGCAACUGACGUUGAGGCCCGAAAGCGUGGGGAGCAAACAGGAUUAGAUACCCGAGAGUC
rnacentral:rRNA from 1 species